GUCUGGCCUUAUCUGAAUAGGAAAAGCAUGAGACUCUUAAUCUCAGGGUCGUGGGUUCGAGACCCACGUUGGGCG